rnacentral:rRNA from 1 species
GACGAACGCUGGCGGCGUGCCUAAUACAUGCAAGUAGAACGCACAGUUUAUACCGUAGCUUGCUACACCAUAGACUGUGAGUUGCGAACGGGUGAGUAACGCGUAGGUAACCUGCCUGGUAGCGUGGGAUAACUAUUGGAAACGAUAGCUAAUACCGCAUAAUAUUGAUUAUUGCAUGAUAAUUGAUUGCAAGAUGCUAUUGCAUCACUACCAGAUGGCCCUGCGUUGUAUUAGCUAGUAGGUGAGGUAACGGCUCACCUAGGCGACGAUACAUAGCCGACCUGAGAGGGUGAUCGGCCACACUGGGACUGAGACACGGCCCAGACGCCUACGGGAGGCAGCAGUAGGGAAUCUGCGGCAAGGGGCGAAAGUCUGACCGAGCAACGCCGCGUGAGUGAAGAAGGUUUUCGGAUCGUAAAGCUCUGUUGUAAGAGAAGAACGGGUGUGAGAGUGGAAAGUUCACACUGUGACGGUAACUUACCAGAAAGGGACGGCUAACUACGUG